AGUGAACGCUGGCGGUAGGCCUAACACAUGCAAGUCGAACGGCAGCACAGGGGAGCUUGCUCUCUGGGUGGCGAGUGGCGGACGGGUGAGGAAUACAUCGGAAUCUACUCUGUCGUGGGGGAUAACGUAGGGAAACUUACGCUAAUACCGCAUACGACCUACGGGUGAAAGCAGGGGAUCUUCGGACCUUGCGCGAUUGAAUGAGCCGAUGUCGGAUUAGCUAGUUGGCGAGGUAAAGGCCCACCAAGGCGACGAUCCGUAGCUGGUCUGAGAGGAUGAUCAGCCACACUGGAACUGAGACACGGUCCAGACUCCUACGGGAGGCAGCAGUGGGGAAUAUUGGACAAUGGGCGCAAGCCUGAACCAGCCAUACCGCGUGGGUGAAGAAGGCCUUCGGGUUGUAAAGCCCUUUUGUUGGGAAAGAAAUCCAGCUGGCUAAUACCCGGUUGGGAUGACGGUACCCAAAGAAUAAGCACCGGCUAACUUCGUGCCAGCAGCCGCAGUAA
rnacentral:rRNA from 1 species